AUAUAAGCUGAUUAGUUGAACAAAAAUCUGUUUUCUUAAUUAAUUAUAUCUUGUUUUAAUGGAACCUUCUAAUGGACAAUGGGCAUGAUCAUUAUUGGCUUAUUAGUAGUUUGUUUAGUUAUUUGUUUAUUGGAAUAGCUUAAGACAGCUACGUCAUUUUGAGGAUAGUUAUGUGUUUUUUUAGUUUGUUUAAGCGCAUUUGAUUUUAGUUUCGAAUGAAGCAUAUACAGUGUGCAAAGAAAAAUCAUUGACUUUUUGAAACGAACAAAUAAGGUAAACUUUUGCAAGAGGAGUACAUUUUUCCAUUUUUCUAGAUGAUGUUCUUUGACUGCUACUAAGGCCUCCAACCUGGGCUUAAAUGCACUGCAGCACUCCUUGAGGAAAGACUCAGACAUGGCCGCCCUCUGCUGCUAGACGGAGGCCUUGAGGUCAUCCAAAUUUUAGUGAGGGGUAGCAUAGGCUCUCUUCUCGACUACACUUCAAAUGGUUCAUCCGAGGGAAUAACAGUCUAAGGAAAAGAGUGGCCAAACCGUCGUUUAGGCUUUAACCAAGUCAAAAAUGUAUGGUCUCUCUUGAUCCAGAUGACCUUGGUUGCUGUUGAAAGAAAUUGCCGAUAUCAUCGUACAAAAGAGGACUUCCCCAAAUCCUUACACAUAUCUCCUCCCAGCCCAAUUACUGAUAUUGAGAGCCGCGGCGUACUGCCUCAUCGACUUAGCUAGACUUUUGGUAAUCGAAGUGACCAUGCCCUCCAUGAUCCCGAUUUUCCGGCGCCUCCCACUGCCAAAGGACCUCUUAAGGCUCUUUCCUGAAGCCAUUACACUUGUAAUCUUGUAAACAAGACUCCAGGAGAACCCUUUCGACCUUCAUGAUCUUAUCCCCACUCACUUGGACGUGGAGCAAAUCAGACACCCUUUGCCUUCUCGCCUCCAUGCUGACAACUUUUGAUUUUUUUUUCAACAAUAAGAGUCAUAGAAAUACUGUCAUGAAGCCCUAUUUAAACCAAGAUUAAAGGGAAUCCAGAUAAUGGGUCAUAGUUAAAGAAGGCAUCUGUAUAAAGAAAAAACUAAUUUUAGGUGUGAGAAAAGGAAAAAUGGCUUUGGUUUGUGGUAUCUCUUAUUAUUAGUUGAUAAUUUAAUAAGUCGUCGUGGUGUUAACUUUUUCCUCGGAAUAAUUCGUUUUAUCUACCCAAAAAUCAUAUAACCAGCACCUAAUAUUAACGAGUGUCUUAUUAUGUAUAUAUUUCUUUUUUUUUUGUUCAUUUAUUUCAUUAGAAUAACCAUCCACAUAUACAUUUAUAUAAUCAAACCCCACAUAUCUUAAAACUUUAAUAAAUUAUUGUUCACAA
rnacentral:lncRNA from 1 species